UACAGAGGGUGCAAACGUUGUUCGGAAUUACUGGGCGUAAAGGGCUCGUAGGCGGCCAACUAAGUCAGACGUGAAAUCCCUCGGCUUAACCGGGGAACUGCGUCUGAUACUGGUUGGCUUGAGUGUGGGAGAGGGAUGCGGAAUUCCAGGUGUAGCGGUGAAAUGCGUAGAUAUCUGGAGGAACACCGGUGGCGAAGGCGGCAUCCUGGACCACAACUGACGCUGAGGAGCGAAAGCCAGGGGAGCAAACGGG
rnacentral:rRNA from 1 species